rnacentral:rRNA from 1 species
AGAGUUUGAUCCUGGCUCAGGACGAACGCUGGCGGCGUGCCUAACACAUGCAAGUCGAACGGAGAAUUUCAAAGAGCUUGCUCGGAGAAAUUUUUAGUGGCGGACGGGUGAGUAACGCGUGGGUAACCUACCCAUAAAGCCGGGACAACCCUUGGAAACGAGGGCUAAUACCGGAUAAUCUUGAGAAGUGGCAUCACUUUUUAAGGAAAGGUGGCCUCUGAAUAUGCUACCGAUUAUGGAUGGACCCGCGUCUGAUUAGCUAGUUGGUGGGGUAAAGGCCUACCAAGGCGACGAUCAGUAGCCGGCCUGAGAGGGUGAACGGCCACACUGGGACUGAGACACGGCCCAGACUCCUACGGGAGGCAGCAGUGGGGAAUCUUCCGCAAUGGACGAAAGUCUGACGGAGCAACGCCGCGUGUAUGAUGAAGGUCUUCGGAUUGUAAAGUACUGUCUUUGGGGAAGAAUGACUGUCUGAAAAUAUGAGACAGUAUGACG